AUAUAGCCCCGGUAGAAACGGCAUCCUUUUUAUCCGCUUUUUAGCGGCUGAAAAGAUACAGUGGAUAACGGGACAAAUG
rfam:Flavobacterium plurextorum strain CCTG 60112 WGS0045_contig_16, whole genome shotgun sequence.